UUUGUUUCUUUGCAAGUAAAGAAGCUGCAUACUGCUCUGGAUUUCUGGAUUGCUGUGUAAAAGUCACAUUUUUUGUCUUUUUAGAGACCUCCGUUUUCUUUUUUACAGUGUAGUAUUUUAAUUUCCUGCUUAGAUUACAUAUAGUGACAUGACAUAAUCACUGCACAGCACAUGCAUGGUGCAUAUUACAUGCAGCCACAUAGCAGAGCUGUAUGGUUUCGUUAAUGUGAUUUUUUUUUUUUUUUGUAUAAAAUACAAAUAAUUAUGAAAUAGUUUUAUUUCUUAUGAAUAUUGUAAAAAUUGCAGUAUUGGGCUAAUUUCACAAUUUCCGCGCAGCCCGUGGAAUCGCUGUUUUUUUUCAUGACGCACCCUGUUUCGUCAGCUUCAUGUAAAAACAGCCUUCGCCAUUAUCACUCUCACUACAAGAAGUGCAGUACAACACAGAGGAAAUAAUACAUUGAAAAUAAAAACAGGGACAUUUUUUGUACUUUGAAAAUGUACAUUACUUCAGCAGUUAAUGAAUAAACUAUAGAAAAUAAAAACACUUUAUUCUAUAUUCUUAUCUUGUUAAACUAUAAGAUUUGAAACAGAUAAAACAAUAGACACAUUUUUAAGUUUCAUUAUUUAUAUGCUUUAAGAGACAUAGUAUAUGUAAAAUAACAUGGGUCAAGAUACAUUAUUAUCACACAAUAAUAUAUGUUUCUUUAGACGUAUAGUCAGUUGGCAAUCUAAUGUGCACGAGAUGACUGUCACGGCAAAAUUCGAUAUACUGGAAGUUCUGAAAAGUGGCUUUUUUUAUUGUCUUUGAGUGGCUUCAUGACUUCAAAUCCAGUGUAUUGCUGUCAUCCUGUGCAUAGCAAGUACGGCACAGUUCGCAAGUUUUAAUAAUGUAACAGCUCUUGAGUAGGCUGUGUAGUCUUACUGUGUCAGGUUCAGUGGGGUGGUAGUGCAGGUGCUCCAUGGCUCUGUAUCAGGUUCAGGUGGGGUGGUAGUGCUGGUGUUCUGUGUCAGGUUCUGGUGGGAUGGUAGUGCAGGUGCUCUGUGGUUCUGUAUCAGGUUCAGGUGGGGUGGUAGUGCCCAUGCACUGUGGUUCUAUAUCGGGUUCAGGUGAGGUGGUAGUGCCCGUGCUCGGUGGUUCUGUAUCAGGUUCAGGUGGGGUGGUAGUGCAGGUGUUCCGUGGUUCUGUAUCGGGUGCAGGUGGGGUGGUUGUGCCCGUGCUCUGUGGUUCUGUAUCAGGUUCAGGUGGGGUGGUAGUGCCCAUCCUCUGUGGUUCUGUAUCAGGUUCAGGUGGGGUGGUAGUGCAGGUGCUCCGUGGUUCUGUAUCGGGUUCAGGUGAGGUGGUAGUGCCCAUUCUCCGUGGUUCUGUGUCAGGUUCAGGUGGGGUGGUAGUGCAGGUGCUCCGUGGUUCUGUAUCAGGUUCAGGUGGGGUGGUAGUGCAGGUACUCCGUGGUUCUGUAUCACAUUCAGGUGGGGUGGUAGUGCAGGUGUUCCGUGGUUCUGAAUAAAGUUCAGUUGGAAUGGUAGUGCCUGCGCUCCGUGGUUCUGUAUCGGGUUCAGGUGAGGUGGUAGUGCCCAUUCUCCGUGGUUCUGUGUCAGGUUCAGGUGGGGUGGUAGUGCAGGUGUUCCGUGGUUCUGUAUCAGGUUCAGGUGGGGUGGCAGUGCAGGUGUCAUAGCUUCAGCUCCCGUGGUGGCCGGCUUCCAGUUCUGUCUUACCAUUGAGGCAGCGCAUCCCUGUGAAGGCGUACCACCAAACUUACUUAGCACCCUUCUAGGUCGGGAGGGAGAUUUGCAGCUCGGAUUCAUUCUCUCAUGUUCACAAUGGGUUUUACAGUUUUAGGGAGGGAUAGCAAGAGUUUAGAUCCGAUUUAUAAAGCUCUGUCAAUAAUUAUGCACCAUAAAGCUUUAAUUUGCUUUUUUUUGUUUUUUUGUUAAUCAUACUGUAUAUUUUGAUAUAUAAAAAAAAUGUAGAAUUUCAUUUGGCUGUAAAAAAAAUUUGCAGUAUAACAUGCUAAUUAUUUUGAUAUGUGUACAGCAAUAAAUAUUGUUUUGUAGGAGUUUUGUAGAUAUUUUGUAUUUUAAAAGUAUGAGUAUUUCUAGUUUCUGAAGUACUUUGCCUACAGUUUUGAAUGGGCUUGUAAAUAGAAUCGAAUAGACUGUGCCUUCAUCAGUGUUACUUUGGUCUACCCUACUUACCUUAUUCUUGUGGUUUUUAAGUUAUAGAGGAAGUUGGUAUAUGAAUAAUACCAUAUUUCUGGCAUUCAUUACUAGUUCCUGGAAGUUUGCAUAGGCAUUCAUUUUCAUGUACACAUAUAGUGUAGAAUAUUUUGAUUGGGUGCUGUACGAUACAAGCUGAUAUCCACUCCAUGAUAGGUCAGAGCAGUCAGCUCUUCAGUGGGGGUAGCAUGUAUCUUAGCGAUAUAAUAUCCCUCUGACAGGGUACUCCCUGCCUCUGUGCAUAACAUGUAUAAUUUUGUAUUAUUAUUAUGAUUAUUAUUUAUGUGUUUAGAAUAUCACAGCAAAAAGCCCUUUUUGUUUAAAUGUAGGAUUGGCAGAAAUGCUGUCUGCUAUUUUUUAUUUUUGUUUAAUUCCUGUGGAAAUGCGUGACUGUCAGCGACUGAUUUAUUCAAUUAUCUGACAGUCACGCAUCUUUAGUAAACCUGUGCAGAAUGUGACCGAGGAGUUGACUAGAUGAUUAAUAGCUGGUUAAUCCCUCAGUCAUGACUGUAGAGGGGGAGUGAUUUGGAGAGCACAGGAGAGAGUGCGAAUGCUACUGGCGUCUGUGUGAGAAAGGUACUUGCGUGUUUGUGUUUGCUUUGUUUUGGCCCCUGUGCUUGUUGUAUUUAUUCUGAAUGUCUUUAUUUUGUUACUUUGGUAUUUACUUAAUAAAUAUGCCACGCAAUUAUU